AGCGUUGUAGCUCAAUGGUAGAGCAACCCACACCUAUUUACGGGAAGGACGUGAGUUCAAUUCUCAUCAACGGUACAA
rnacentral:tRNA from 1 species